ACAAAAUAUGAGUGAAUAUCAGGCCCAUCAUCCUCAAUCAGAAAUGAUCUUCAGAAGGAUAUGAAGUAGAUCUUCUUUAGCACUUGCAAAAUGAAUAGAGAAACCAAAAAUAGUGCAGAUAGAAUAAAAAUACAAUGAUUUUAUUAUAAAAAUGCACUUACAAAAAUCCAAGUAAUAGACAGCAUAUAAUCCACUCUACAGUAGAGAUUGCAACAAGAGAGUCCCCAAUGUAGUAAUCCAACGCGUUUCGUCC